AUGAACGCUAGCUACAGGCUUAACACAUGCAAGGUCGAGGGGGAAACGAUAUUGGAAGCUUGCUUCUGAUAGGCGUCGACCGGCGCACGGGUGAGUAACGCGUAUCCAACCUGCCCAUCACUUGGGGAUAACCUUGUGAAAGUAAGACUAAUACCCAAUGACGUCUCUAGAAGACAUCUGAAAGAGAUUAAAGAUUUAUCGGUGAUGGAUGGGGAUGCGUCUGAUUAGCUUGUUGGCGGGGUAACGGCCCACCAAGGCGACGAUCAGUAGGGGUUCUGAGAGGAAGGUCCCCCACAUUGGAACUGAGACACGGUCCAAACUCCUACGGGAGGCAGCAGUGAGGAAUAUUGGUCAAUGGACGAGAGUCUGAACCAGCCAAGUAGCAUGCAGGAUGACGGCCCUAUGGGUUGUAAACUGCUUUUAUAAGGGAAUAAAGUGGGAGUCGUGACUCUUUUUGCAUGUACCUUAUGAAUAAGGACCGGCUAAUUCCGUG
rnacentral:rRNA from 1 species